rnacentral:rRNA from 1 species
AUCCGUUGAAAAGGGUGGCGAUGAGGUGUGGGUAGGGGAGAAAUUCCAAUCGAACUCGGAGAUAGCUGGUUCUCCUCGAAAUAGUUUUAGGACUAGCCUUGUUUAGUAGUACGUGGGGGUAGAGCACUGAAUGAGCUAGGGGCCAAACCAGGUUACCGAACUCUAUCAAACUCCGAAUACCAUGUAUGUAAGAACAGGAGUCAGACUGUGGGAGCUAAGUUCCAUGGUCAAAAGGGAAAGAGCCCAGAUCGUCAAUUAAGGUCCCAAAGAUAUAGUUAAGUGGAAAACGAUGUGAUUUUGCGUAAACAACCAGGAUGUUGGCUUAGAAGCAGCCAUGCAUUUAAAGAGUGCGUAAUAGCUCACUGGUCGAGUGAAGUUGCGCGGAAAAUUACCGGGGCUAAACUAUACACCGAAAUUGCGGAUUUAUACGAUAGUAUAAGUGGUAGAGGAGCAUUCUAUAGUAGGACGAAGCAUGACUGAAAAGACAUGUGGACGAGAUAGAAGAGAGAAUGCCGGAAUAAGUAGCGAAAGCAUGGUGAGAAUCCAUGCCAUCGAAAGUCUAAGGUUUCCUGGGGAAGGUUCGUCCGCCCAGGGUAAGUCGGGACCUAAGGUGAGGCCGAAAGGCGUAGCCGAUGGACAGCAGGUAGAAAUUCCUGCACCACCGAUAUACUUAAAAAGCACAAGGGACACAGGAGUGGAAGAGAAGCGAGGAAGAGGAAAGACUCGUAUCGAAAGAUAUAGUGAAAAUAAAGUAACGAAUUCUCAAGAAGCACACUGGCGAGAAAAGCUUGUGAGUCUUGUAUAUAGGUGCCCGUACCGCAAACCGACACAGGUAGAUGAGGAGAGGAUCCUAAGAUGAGCGAGAGAAGCAUUGUUAAGGAACUCGGCAAACUAACCCCGUAACUUAGGGAGAAGGGGUACCAUAUGAAAGUAUGGUCGCAGAGAAGAGGCCCAAGCAACUGUUUAACAAAAACACAGGUUUCUGCUAAAUCGAAAGAUGAAGUAUAGGAGCUGACACCUGCCCAGUGCUGGAAGGUUAAGGGGAAAUGUAAGUACUUGAUACGAAGCAUAGAACCAAAGCCCCAGUGAACGGCGGCCGUAACUAUAACGGUCCUAAGGUAGCGAAAUUCCUUGUCAGGUAAGUUCUGACCCGCACGAAAGGUGUAAUGAUUUGGGCGCUGUCUCGACAAUGUACUCGGCGAAAUUGUAGUACUAGUGAAGAUGCUAGUUACCUGCGACAAGACAGAAAGACCCCAUGGAGCUUUACUGUAGCUUGAUACUGGGUUUUGAUAAUUUAUGUACAGGAUAGGUGGGAUACUAAGAAGCAUUUGCGCCAGCAGAUGUGGAGUAGACGUUGGGAUACCACCCUUAAGUUAUUGAAAUUCUAACCAUUCGUCAUAAACUGGCGAGGGGACAAUGUCAGGCGGGCAGUUUGACUGGGGCGGUCGCCUCCAAAAGAGUAACGGAGGCGCGCAAAGGUUUCCUCAGCACGGACAGAAAUCGUGCGAAAGAGUGCAAAGGCAGAAGGAAGCUUAACUGAGAGACUGACAAGUCGACCAGAUACGAAAGUAGGUCUUAGUGAUCCGGCGGUAGUGAGUGGAAAUGCCGUCGCUCAACGGACAAAAGUUACCCUGGGGAUAACAGGCUUAUCUCCCCCAAGAGUUCACAUCGACGGGGAGGUU